GGCGGACGGGUGAGUAACGCGUGAGGAACCUGCCUUUCAGAGGGGGACAACAGUUGGAAACGACUGCUAAUACCGCAUGACACAUCGGAGUCGCAUGGCUCUGAUGUCAAAGAUUUAUCGCUGAAAGAUGGCCUCGCGUCUGAUUAGCUAGUUGGUGAGGUAACGGCCCACCAAGGCGACGAUCAGUAGCCGGACUGAGAGGUUGAACGGCCACAUUGGGACUGAGAUACGGCCCAGACUCCUACGGGAGGCAGCAGUGGGGAAUAUUGGGCAAUGGGCGCAAGCCUGACCCAGCAACGCCGCGUGAAGGAAGAAGGCUUUCGGGUUGUAAACUUCUUUUGUCAGGGACGAGUAGAAGACGGUACCUGACGAAUAAGCCACGGCUAACUACGUGCCAGCAGCCGCGGUAAUACGUAGGUGGCAAGCGUUGUCCGGAUUUACUGGGUGUAAAGGGCGUGUAGCCGGGAGGGCAAGUCAGAUGUGAAAUCCACGGGCUCAACUCGUGAACUGCAUUUGAAACUACUCUUCUUGAGUAUCGGAGAGGCAAUCGGAAUUCCUAGUGUAGCGGUGAA
rnacentral:rRNA from 1 species